CUCUAGCGCGGGGCGGAAGACCCGCGAAGUGUUCAAGCGGCCGCAGAGCGGCCCAGAGUUCGCAGGUCUGGGGCUCUCUUCCCAGAGAGCUCGUAGGGGAGGACAGUCAAGGGACUCAAGCGUCUCUCUUGACUCCCCUUCUCUCGCUGUGCAGUGGCGGCGCCGAGGGGUCGACGCUCAGGGCUAAUCUCUAUGAGUCACCCUCGAGGCCCCGGGUAAUAUUGGGUGGAUCACAAGAACUAAUCUUUCAUGAUUUGGAAACCGGAAGGAAAGAAGCACUUUUGUAGCUGACUUACCUCAAUGACAUGACCAGUGUCUGAGCCUACAACUGCGCUAUCUUCCCUGGAUUUUUCUUCACCUUUUCCUUACUCAUGAGCCAGAGAGACACUUAUAAUGCAGUAGUUGAAAACCUGCAAAUUGGAGUCAUGCUGUUUGGAUUUGAGGACCAGCUCUGCCUACAUUGGCUGUGGGGUCUUGAACAAGUCACUUAACUUCCCUGUCCAUCAAUGUUCUUAUCUGCAAAACAAAAUAAUGACAGUGUCUGGUAAUGCUGUUGGAGGAAAAAAUAAAAUAGUGCCUACAUAUGGA
rnacentral:lncRNA from 1 species